rnacentral:rRNA from 1 species
UACGUAGGGUGCGAGCGUUUGUCCGGAAUUAUUGGGCGUAAAGAGCUCGUAGGCGGUGUGUCGCGUCGGCCGUGAAAACCUGGGGCUCAACUCUGGGCGUGCGGUCGAUACGGGCAGACUGGAGGUAUGCAGGGGAGAACGGAAUUCCUGGUGUAGCGGUGAAAUGCGCAGAUAUCAGGAGGAACACCGGUGGCGAAGGCGGGGUCUCUGGGCAGUAACUGACGCUGAGGAGCGAAAGCGUGGGGGAGCGAACAGG